GCGCAACACUUACAUGGGACCAUACAUGACUCGUCGUUACAAUGGGAUGAUUAAGAAGCAAAACACCGGCAAAACAUUCUUUCUUCAUUCAAUAUAUCUCCGUCAUUUUCGCCUCUUGAUUAAAAUGUUCUCCCUCCAUCGACGAAUCU